AUUGAACGCUAGCGGGAUGCCUUACACAUGCAAGUCGAACGGCGUGGCGAACGGGUGAGUAAUGUAUCGGAACGUGCCCAGUAGCGGGGGAUAACUACGCGAAAGCGUAGCUAAUGACGCAUCCUAUUGAAGUGGCCGAUCUCGGAUUAGCCAGUUGGUGGGGUAACGGCUCACCAGGUCGACGAUCCGUAGCUGGUUUGCGAGGACGAAUAGCCACACUGGGACUGGGACACGGCCCAGACUCCUACGGGAGGCAGCAGUGGGGAAUUUUGGACAAUGGGGGAAACCCUGAUCCAGCCAUCCCGCGUGUGUGAUGAAGGCCUUCGGGUUGUAAAGCACUUUUGGUAGGAAAGCGGUACCUGCAGAAUAAGCACCGGCUAACUACGUGCCAGCCGCCGCGGUAAUAC
rnacentral:rRNA from 1 species